rnacentral:tRNA from 1 species
AUUACUUUGGCAGAAUAGUGCAAUGGAUUUAGAAUCUUUAUAUGUAUAAAAUACAGGUAAUA